rnacentral:rRNA from 1 species
ACUACGGGUGGCAGCAGUGAGGAAUAUUGGUCAAUGGGCGGAAGCCUGAACCAGCCAAGUAGCGUGCAGGAUGACGGCCCUACGGGUUGUAAACUGCUUUUAUACGGGAAUAACGCGCCUUACGUGUAGGGCUUUGCAUGUACCGUAUGAAUAAGGACCGGCUAAUUCCGUGCCAGCAGCCGCGGUAAUACGGAAGGUCCGGGCGUUAUCCGGAUUUAUUGGGUUUAAAGGGUGCGUAGGCCGCAUGUCAAGCUUGCUGUGAAAUGGCCGGGCUCAACCCGGGCCUUGCAGCGCGAACUGGCGUGCUUGAGUCCGCGGAAAGCAGGCGGAAUGCGUGGUGUAGCGGUGAAAUGCUUAGAUAUGACGAAGAACCCCGAUUGCGAAGGCAGCUUGCUGCAGCGGAACUGACGCUGAUGCUCGAAAGCGCGGGUAUCGAACAGGAUUAGAUACCCGUGUAGUC